UACGUAGGGGGCAAGCGUUGUCCGGAAUCAUUGGGCGUAAAGCGCGUGUAGGCGGCCUGGUAAGUCCGUGGUGAAAUCUCUGAGCUUAACUCAGAAACUGCCAUGGAUACUAUUUGUCUUGAAUGUUGUGGAGGUAAGCGGAAUAUGUCAUGUAGCGGUGAAAUGCUUAGAUAUGACAUAGAACACCAAUUGCGAAGGCAGCUUGCUACACAAAUAUUGACGCUGAGGCACGAAAGCGUGGGGAUCAAACAGG
rnacentral:rRNA from 1 species